rnacentral:misc_RNA from 1 species
CAACCCUCAAGCACUGCUUGGUAUUGGGCCCCGCUGCUAACACCGCGGGCCUUAAAAUCAGUGGCGGCGCCGCUGGGCUCUGAGCGUAGUAAAUUUCCUCGCUACGGAGACCUGGCGGUGGUGGCCAUCAACCCCCAACUUUCUAAGU